UAUUUAUUCAAUGGUCUAUUGUUUGCCGAUAAGCUCUGAAUAGUUUUUGUUCGCUUCAGUUUCGCCCAUUUUUUAGUCAGUUGUGGUGUGUAAACGGGCCCCUGAAGCGUUGAUCUAAACUGUUUAAAUGUGAAUUGUCUGAAAGUUGGCGAUAUCACGGAAAAGAGUCAUCGAAGCUCCUAUACACUUGCACUUCGACUUCCAUGAAUGGACAUUAGUGUACUCCUGCACUCAAGUUUUAGAUCUCCUUUGAUAAGUGCUAAAAUAAUUUCUUUCAAUCUCGAAUUGGUUUGUGACUAUUAAAAGGCUUAAAGGAAUGUUGCGUGACCUUCCAUCUGUGGCGGCGAAGAGUUGCGAUGAUCUACCCAAAG
rnacentral:sRNA from 1 species